rnacentral:rRNA from 1 species
GACGUAGGGCGCGAGCGUUGUCCGGAUUUAUUGGGCGUAAAGAGCUCGUAGGCGGCUUGUCGCGUCGAAUGUGAAAUCUCAGGGCUCAACUCUGACAUUGCAUUCGAUACGGGCAGGCUAGAGUUCGGUAGGGGAGACUGGAAUUCCUGGUGUAGCGGUGAAAUGCGCGAUAUCAGGAGGAACACCGGUGGCGAAGGCGGGUCUCUGGGGCCGAAUACUGACGUGAGGAGCGAAAAGCGUGG